UCAGACGUGGUGCAUGGUACCGGUGCACGUCAAAUUCGCAUUGAGGAUUCUCGCACAUCUGAAAAAGCUGAAGACCAGGGUUCGACUCCCUGCAUCUGAA